rnacentral:rRNA from 1 species
UACGUAGGGUGCAAGCGUUGCCCGGAUUUAUUGGGCGUAAAGGGCGCGUAGGCGGCUCGGCACGUCCGUUGUGAAAUCGCCCGGCUCAACUGGGCGGGGUCAGCGGAUACGGUCGAGCUUGAGCAAGCUAGGGGGCAAUGGAAUUCCCGGUGUAGUGGUGGAAUGCGUAGAUAUCGGGAGGAACACCAGUGGCGAAGGCGGUUGCCUGGGGCCUUGCUGACGCUGAUGCGCGAAAGCGUGGGGAGCGAUCCGG